GGUGGUGGGUGGUGCGUUUCAGCAGUGGCAGCAGUGACAGUGGGGCACCUCUGCUGGUGCAUAUCCUGACAGGUUGAACUACAGGAAAUUAGAUGUUGGAGUGACAGAUGCCUUUCCCCGCCGCAAAAUCAGCUGAGGAAUUGGAUUUUGCUGCCCCAAGUGGUGCAGAAGCUUAUUAUCAAAAUUUUGAGAACAUGAAGAAGAAGGUGUGUCAGACAGCACAGAGGUGAAUCUGAACAACUUGCCCAGUGUCACUCACCACACUGAACACAUCGUGCCUGAUUUGCAGCACACACAGGAAACCAUAGAAUAAUUUGGGAAGUGCUGCAGAACUGCUCUGUGCAAAACUGGUUUGAAGUGAGUGAAGAGGACUGAUACUGGCAACAGUCAGAUCUAUGUUCCAAGUCCUUGCACAGCUUUAGCAAAAGAAUUGCACUCCCUCAGACAGUCAGACCUGCAGGGCGGUCAAUGUCAACAUCCAGACACAACAGAAGUAUCAUGUAGAUCAAGAUGCAUUGUCUUUUACACCUUCACAAGACUAUGGUUUGAGGAGGUCUGAGAGACAUGAAUUUGCUAAGAUGAAAUGGGAAGAUGGAAGGCCCUAAGAACUAGAUUGCAAACCAGUCCACGUGCUAGUCUGAGACUCACAAUACUUUUUCUCAAGUGAUGCUAGGGAUAAAUCUGGAACACAACAGUAGUUCUGGCCAGGAAGAUAAGUAAGAGUUCUCUUCAUGUUGUCAAAAUCAAAGGAAAAGGCCACAGAUGAAAACAUCUGCAUGUUAAUACCUGAGCAAAGAUCAUGGUGUCACUGCAUUAUUUCAAUGUAUUUAUCGAGUAAAACAGCAAAACAGUUCCAACAUGAGAGAGAAAUAUUUUUAUGCUCUGUAAAUGAUAUUUCUACUGGAAAAAUAUAUUGCAAAUCUUAAU
rnacentral:lncRNA from 7 species